AGAGUUUGAUCAUGGCUCAGGACGAACGCUGGCGGCGUGCCUAAUACAUGCAAGUAGAACGCUGAAGGGAGGAGCUUGCUCUUCUUGGAUGAGUUGCGAACGGGUGAGUAACGCGUAGGUAACCUGCCUUGUAGCGGGGGAUAACUAUUGGAAACGAUAGCUAAUACCGCAUAACAAUGGAUGACACAUGUCAUUUAUUUGAAAGGGGCAAUUGUUCCACUACAAGAUGGACCUGCGUUGUAUUAGCUAGUAGGUGAGGUAAUGGCUCACCUAGGCGACGAUACAUAGCCGACCUGAGAGGGUGAUCGGCCACACUGGGACUGAGACACGGCCCAGACUCCUACGGGAGGCAGCAGUAGGGAAUCUUCGGCAAUGGGGGCAACCCUGACCGAGCAACGCCGCGUGAGUGAAGAAGGUUUUCGGAUCGUAAAGCUCUGUUGUAAGUCAAGAACGGGUGAGAGAGUGGAAAGUUCACACUGUGACGGUAGCUUACCAGAAAGGGACGGCUAACUACGUGCCAGCAGCCGCGGUAAUACGUAGGUCCCGAGCGUUGUCCGGAUUUAUUGGGCGUAAAGCGAGCGCAGGCGGUUUGAUAAGUCUGAAGUUAAAGGCUGUGGCUCAACCAUAGUUCGCUUUGGAAACUGUCAAACUUGAGUGCAGAAGGGGAGAGUGGAAUUCCAUGUGUAGCGGUGAAAUGCGUAGAUAUAUGGAGGAACACCGGUGGCGAAAGCGGCUCUCUGGUCUGUAACUGACGCUGAGGCUCGAAAGCGUGGGGAGCGAACAGGAUUAGAUACCCUGGUAGUCCACGCCGUAAACGAUGAGUGCUAGGUGUUGGAUCCUUUCCGGGAUUCAGUGCCGCAGCUAACGCAUUAAGCACUCCGCCUGGGGAGUACGACCGCAAGGUUGAAACUCAAAGGAAUUGACGGGGGCCCGCACAAGCGGUGGAGCAUGUGGUUUAAUUCGAAGCAACGCGAAGAACCUUACCAGGUCUUGACAUCCCGAUGCUAUUUCUAGAGAUAGAAAGUUACUUCGGUACAUCGGUGACAGGUGGUGCAUGGUUGUCGUCAGCUCGUGUCGUGAGAUGUUGGGUUAAGUCCCGCAACGAGCGCAACCCCUAUUGUUAGUUGCCAUCAUUCAGUUGGGCACUCUAGCGAGACUGCCGGUAAUAAACCGGAGGAAGGUGGGGAUGACGUCAAAUCAUCAUGCCCCUUAUGACCUGGGCUACACACGUGCUACAAUGGUUGGUACAACGAGUUGCGAGUCGGUGACGGCGAGCUAAUCUCUUAAAGCCAAUCUCAGUUCGGAUUGUAGGCUGCAACUCGCCUACAUGAAGUCGGAAUCGCUAGUAAUCGCGGAUCAGCACGCCGCGGUGAAUACGUUCCCGGGCCUUGUACACACCGCCCGUCACACCACGAGAGUUUGUAACACCCGAAGUCGGUGAGGUAACCUUUUGGAGCCAGCCGCCUAAGGUGGGACAGAUGAUUGGGGUGAAGUCGUAACAAGGUA
rnacentral:rRNA from 1 species